UACGAAGGGUGCAAGCGUUAAUCGGAAUUACUGGGCGUAAAGCGCGCGUAGGUGGUUUGGUAAGUUGGAUGUGAAAGCCCCGGGCUCAACCUGGGAACUGCAUCCAAAACUGCCUGACUAGAGUACGGUAGAGGGUGGUGGAAUUUCCUGUGUAGCGGUGAAAUGCGUAGAUAUAGGAAGGAACACCAGUGGCGAAGGCGACCACCUGGACUGAUACUGACACUGAGGUGCGAAAGCGUGGGGAGCAAACAGG
rnacentral:rRNA from 1 species